CGUAGCUCAGCCGGUAGAGCAGCGGCCUUUUAAGCCGUUGGUCACAGGUUCGAUUCCUGUCGG
rnacentral:tRNA from 1 species